AGUCUAGUCAGCUCUGGAUUUUGGUUUCUGAUGACAAUCUUUUUUUACCUUUCCUUUCUUUUAGCCGAUUGAAUUGCUUUCAAAGCAACUCUACACUGCGAGACCUGGUGAAGGAGCUGAGAGGUGGGGCAGUUGCUUAGAACAGGCAAGAGUCUAUGAUCGCAUAAAGUUCAACUGUCUUCUGCUCUGGCAGUGACUCUGGGAGGCAGAGCCAUGUUUGUGAUGGGAAAGUCGAGGUUCUCAAAGGGAAGUGGCUUGGAAAACUUGACUUGGGAUCGAAAUCCACAGAAAAGUCCUUUCAAACAAUGAAAUCCCCAACCAAACCCAGGAAGAGAAAUCAACUGGAUUUCCUGUGCUCACAGUGGGGUCCUUAUAAGAUUCCUUGAAGUCUUUGCUCAAGUAGGAUCCAGCCAUUUAUUCAGGACUGGGCAGCCGUGGGCACCUGCUACUGUACCAGGGCCUUUAGAGGAUGUGUGGAAGACACGAUACUGCCGUGAUCGAAGAAAGAGAAGGACCAUCCUGCCCUUUUCAGAGAUGACAGGGGCUGGAAGUGGAUCGGUUUUCUUCGGGCUUCUGCACCUCCUGGCAAGCCCCCACCAAGUAUGGGAGGGGGCAGAAGUCGCCGAGCCCCUAGUUCGAUUAAAUGAGCCAUUUGCAAUAUAAAGUGACCCCUAGACGACAUCUGGUGGUGCCUAUCAACAGAUCUACCUCAUAACCAAAGCCCUCAGGGACAUCUUCUGUUUUCCCUGGCCCCAAUCCACAGCAAGGUUGCCAGAAGUCCUCUUCAGCCCUAACGACGGUGCCCGGCACAUAGUGAGCACUGAACAAAGACCAUAAAACACAAAAAUUAACCAAAGACGGAUUACAGCGCCGGUCUAGGAGCUGCAGGACGUGGGUUCGAGUUUGAGCUGUGUCACUAACCUGCCGUGCGACCGUGGGUAAGUCACUUGCUUCUCUGUACCUCAGUUUCCCCAUCUUUAAAAUGGGGAUAGUAAUACCUGCCUUCUCUCCCUACCCCUCAAGAGUUGCGGUGAGGAUGGAAAUGAACUAAAUGCGGGAGAACUUUGGCAAUAAAAGUGCUAUAGAGAAUUGGGGCCCACUCGUCUGCUGUGUGAUUGCUUGUCUGCUGAGUAACCUUGGGCAAGCCACUUCCCUUCUCUGAGCUUCAGUUAUCUCUUCUGUAUAAUGGCCUCAUU
rnacentral:lncRNA from 1 species